rfam:Solanum tuberosum cultivar DM 1-3 516 R44 scf00026_93, whole genome shotgun sequence.
AGAUUUAAGUAGGAGCUCCUUUCAGGCCAAGACCGAGGGACGAGGAGCGGCAUGAGCUGCCUAGUCAUGCAUAUUGGUUAACCUUAACAAACAUAUAUAUAGAGUGUUAAGAAUAACCAGUUGCAUGCCAAGGGAGCAACUACUUCCGCUAACUUGUCUCACUUAUUGGACUGAAGGGAGCUCCUACUAAAUUUCAC